rnacentral:tRNA from 2 species
UGCGGUAAUAGUCUAGCGGCAGGACAGGGGCUUCCCAAGCCCUUAGCCCGGGUUCGAUCCCCGGUUACCGCAU